rnacentral:rRNA from 1 species
CAAUAGCGUAUAUUAAAGUUGUUGUGGUUAAAAGCUCGUAGUUGGAUCUCGGCGGUCUGAGGGCGGUUCGCUUGCUUAAGCGCUACUGCCCUAUAGGCCGUAGUUUUGCCAGAGGCCUCGGGGUGCUCUUAACCGAGUGUCCUGCGGCGCUGGCGGGUUUACUUUGAAAAAAUUAGAGUGCUCAAAGCAGGCUUUUACGCCUGAAUAUUCGUGCAUGGAAUAAUAGAAUAGGAAGUCGUUUCUAUUUUGUUGGUUUUCGGUAAAUCGACUUAAUGAUUAAUAGGGACAGUCGGGGGCGAUUUGUAUUCAAACGACAGAGGUGAAUUACUUGGACCGUUUGUAAGACAAACUAACUGCGAAAGACAUUUGUCCAA